rnacentral:lncRNA from 1 species
AUGACUCUUUUCCAUCGGGAAAAGUUUGUCAGGAAGCUUUCAGCUGAUAUACCAGGUAGGUGUGCUACAGCAGUGGAGAACAGGCUCCACUUUGACAGGCUUACUGAGUUACUGAAGACUCCCGGCACAAGAAGUGACUCAGCGGCUGCUUCACUGCCUGCUUCCUCCUAACCCCCAAAAGGUCUUUCUGACAUUCGUUUCCUUAAAGGGGUAUUUAGUUCUUUAUCAUGCAAGCAAUAGAAAGACAGGCA